GCUUUGCCAGCGGAUGUGCAACCCCUACCAGAGUUGUGUGUCACUGCUCAUGAAUGCUGGGCAGUGCAUCCAGAGAUGUUAAACAUGACAGCUGUUUUGUGUGAAGCAUGCAGCUACUCUGCACUGAUGCCCAGCUGGGUGAAGACACCUUGGAAAUGCGGGAUUUCUGCUGAGACCACUAUGCAGCCUGACUGCCCUGGCAGCUGCUCUCCUGUUUACUAAGAUGCAGACACCGCCUCCGCACCGCAGCAAUCCUCCUCUUCCCCCGCCCAUCAGCCCAUCCAGGAGCGGUGGCGCGGUCCUCCGCCGAGACGGGAGGAGCGGGAGCUGCACUGCAGUAAUUCGUCUCGCCGCCUGCACUGAUGGUUCCCUCAGGGCGCCACCUCCCAUCGCGGUGAUAAACGCAGCUAGCGGUGAAGCGGUCCCGCGGGCGGCCGGGAG